GGAGCUCCGCCGGAACGCGCGGUCCGCGGGCGGGGCCGGGCCGGGCAGCACCGGCUGUGACGUGACACCGCCACGGGAAGGAAGCGACACAGGCUCGGGAAGCGCUCCCCGGGGGUACUUAUCAGAUUAUCCCCUCUAUGCAGAAAAAUGACAGCAAAACAGUGGAAAUACCUGACUUGCUUUAAAAUGACUGCACUGGAUCUGGAAUAGGCAAGAUACAACAUUUCAGAGCUCAUUUUUUCCAGAGAACAAAGACUGAAGUGUAAAAGAAUCCUGUUGCUGUAGAAGUAAAAACACUAAGAAAUGUCUUUCAAAGUACCAACGUGAACAACAGCAGAGGAGAGCUAAGCACAGACACAUCUGGCAAUGCCUCAGAGUUCCAGACAGCAUCUCCACAUUUUGUUUGCAACCCUAUGUCCAUGAGCUUCAAAUCUCUGAGAUAAAGCAAAGCAAUGAUAGCCGGUAACCAGGAGUACAUAACUGCACUUCAGGCUACUGAACUUACAUUGGAAGGAAUGCAGCAGUAUUUCCUACUUUCGCUUUUCUAGCCUGGCAGGCAUUUCUAGUCUUUCAGACUUCCAGCUUUCUCAGAAAAUGUAGCUGCUAAUACACACCAGUUGUGUUAAAUUGGAAGAACAUCCCCUGAAGUGUUUAAGCUGAAUUCAAAAUGCAAAAGAAGUAAUCUCAAACCACAAUUAUCCUUUGAAAAAAGAGGUAUCUUCUGCUAAUGGCC